UGUACAUAUAUAUACACAUAUACAUACCAUAUUUUCUUUUUAUAUUAUUCUGUCUAGGGCUGUUUCUACCUUUUGGUUAUUGUGAAUAAUGGUACAAUGAAAUAAAUUUGAAAAUAUUUCGUCCAUGUGUUUGGACAUAAAAGCAGAAGUGAGAUUACUGGACCAUAUGGGUCACAGAUCUGACCUGAGCAGGAUCCAUAGCCUUUGGAAGUGCUCUUGAUUAAGGACACUGCUCACUGCUCCAUUUUCAUUCCAAUGUCACCACCCUGGGGCCAAAUUGUCUGGAAGGAUGUGUCAACAGAAAUGUCCAAGGAGGGGAGAGGUAAUAGGAGCCUCCUCCAGAACUGGGACCAUGAGCAGCUACAACUGUGGGGACAACGCUUACCCUGUUUAAGUACCUAGAACUGUAACGGAGUAGCUUUUAAAAAUCUUUUUAAAGUGAGAAAAGAGAACAUUGUGAAAUGUUUCUAAACUGUGGUAGGCACUAUCAUUGCCCCUUACAGAUAUUCUGAGUUUUAUCUCUCGAACCUGUGACUUACGUUUUUUGGCAAAAGCCACUUUGCCCAUGUGAUGAAGAUGUAGGUAGUGAGAUGGAAAAA